UUGCAGUUUAGCAAUCUUCAACCCUGAAAUGGAUUAUGUUGCAGAUAUUCCCCAGAUGAGAAGUCCUGAAAGCCAGGACUCCAUAGAAGCAGGCUGAAUGAGUUAGAACGGAAGCAGCCAAGCCACUCUAACAAGUUAGCUUCUCACCAUUCAUUCUGGGAUGUGAUGAGAAAAGAAGGAAAUGAGAAAUGGAAAUUCCGGCACUGAAAGGCAAGCUCAGAGCAGACUGAGAGGGAACUAUCUCUACAUCCUGACUAUUGAAGGAAGAAGAAAUUACUUAGAUCUAUUUCUGCUUACUCUAAUGAAGCACACUUGGUCUUAGCAGAGAUAUACUAGCACAAAUAACAAUUAAAGCCAGAAUAAGUAAUUUUGGCAGAAAUUAAGCUAUUAAAAGAGUUCCUUGUGAACAGGGCAUGUUAUGAUACAUUCACUCUAGAGAUUUUUCAAAAACAGAGUUAGACAAAGAAUUAAUUUGACCAAGAACAAGAAACUUGACCAUGCCAAGAGGACUGGCAUUUGCUAUGUCAAUACAUACAUCAGUCAUCAGUAUAGGAACAGCAAACAACUUCAAAUGCAGCUGGACUUCAUAAUCCCUUGAAAAAUAAACUGAUAUGAGCUCAUCUUUAUGGGUAAAGC
rnacentral:lncRNA from 1 species